rnacentral:tmRNA from 1 species
GGGGGCGACUGGUUUCGACGGGUUUGGCGAGGAUAUCGCUGCGUGCCCAGGUUCUCAGUCACCUGGUAAAACCACUGGGAAAUUCAUAACUGCCAAUUCAAACCUGGCACUGGCUGCGUAAGCUUCGGCUUCACGCACCUGCGUGAGUGGCAGCCCGCCUGAGGCGGCGCUCACGUAUCGCAAAGUCGGGCUGGUGUGACCUGGGGUCUCAACGAGUCACGCGAGAGUUGUCAGAGGCUUGUUGCAACCAGUUGUCAGAGGCUUGUUGCAACCGAGGCGGGCGAUGCGCCGAGGUAGCGAGACCAGCUAAGCGUCGCCUACGCACGUAGGAGCGGCAUCGGAGUCACUCUCGGACCGGGGUUCGAUUCCCCGCGCCUCCAUUC